GGAGUUAGCCGGUGCUUCUUCUGUGAGUGAUGUCCUUCCUGCCGGCUAUUAACCCGCAGGCCUUCUUCCUCACUGAAAGUGCUUUACAACCCGAAGGCCUUCUUCACACACGCGGCAUGGCUGGAUCAGGGUUGCCCCCAUUGUCCAAUAUUCCCCACUGCUGCCUCCCGUAGGAGUCUGGGCCGUGUCUCAGUCCCAGUGUGGCUGAUCAUCCUCUCAGACCAGCUACGGAUCGUCGCCUUGGUGAGCCGUUACCUCACCAACCAGCUAAUCCGACAUAGGCUCAUCCGAUAGCGCGAGGCCCGAAGGUCCCCCGCUUUCCCCCGUAGGGCGUAUGCGGUAUUAGCCUGGGUUUCCCCAGGUUAUCCCCCACUACCGGGCAGAUUCCUAUGCAUUACUCACCCGUACGCCGCUCGCCACCAGGGAGCAAGCUCCCCGUGCUGCCGCUCGACUUGCAUGUGUUAGGCCUGCCGCCAGCGUUCAAUCUGAGCCAGGAUCAAACUCUGA
rnacentral:rRNA from 1 species